ACGCACGCUGGCGGCGUGCUUAACACCUGCAAGUCGAACGCUGAAGACCUGGCUUUUGUUGGGUUGGAUGAGUGGCGAACGGGUGAGUAACACGUGAGUAACCUGCCCUCUUCUUUGGGAUAACGCCCGGAAACGGGUGCUAAUACUGGAUAUUCACUGAUCUUCGCAUGGGGGUUGGUGGAAAGGUUUGUUCUGGUGGGGGAUGGGCUCGCGGCCUAUCAGCUUGUUGGUGGGGUGAUGGCCUACCAAGGCUUUGACGGGUAGCCGGCCUGAGAGGGUGACCGGUCACAUUGGGACUGAGAUACGGCCCAGACUCCUACGGGAGGCAGCAGUGGGGAAUAUUGCACAAUGGGCGAAAGCCUGAUGCAGCGACGCCGCGUGAGGGAUGGAGGCCUUCGGGUUGUAAACCUCUUUCGCUCAUGGUCAAGCCGCAACUGUGGGUUGUGGUGAGGGUAGUGGGUAAAGAAGCGCCGGCUAACUACGUG
rnacentral:rRNA from 1 species